rnacentral:lncRNA from 1 species
CAGGAGCUUUGCUAUGAUACUCACAAACAACUGUGAGCCAUUCAUUUAUUUUGAUCGGAUAGUUACAAUCAUCUAUUACCUCAUAGGAGGUAAUAUGUGGAAUACAUAUUUUUUAUUUUGUAAAAUAAGAUAAUUAAGGGAAGUUUAGAUAUAAACAAUCUUUUUCUUGAUUUGAUUGAUGCGUGCUAGCCUCAAUGAUUUGCAUGUGUGUGCAUGUCUAAGACCGUCAGUAGAUUUAAAUCAAAUACGUGUGAAAUUGAAUUCAGAUAGAACUAUUUACCCUAUUUUAGUUUCAUUCUUUUUUCAAGAUCGUACUUUGGCAUGUUUUUCUUAAGCAGGAGUUUAAUUCAAAUUUCAAUACCGAUAUGGAUAGUUCGAAUUUAUACUUACAUCCUAAUAUCAACUUUGAUUUUGAAGACAACAAAUGCAAUAUCCAUUUGCUUUAUUGAUUAUUUUAGUAGAACAAAUUAUAAUUGUGCAAGUAAUAAUUAAAAUAUGAGUGUAAAAGAUUUUGAAACAUAUUUUAAAACCUGUCAAGCUGGCUAGUCCUAUGAAAUUAUGCGUUGCUGCCAGUAUUAGAGAAGAAUCAGGAGGCUUGUUUUUGAGAAAGGAGGAUUCCCUACCAUGUUUACUCACGUCAUUAUGGGAAGUGAGAGGAGUUUUAUUUGUUUUCCUAGAUUUUUAAUUUCUUAAUUAAUUCAAACUCAUAAAAUCUACGGCUCAGAUCUAUUUGAGAUAUUACUUUCUUCUAGGUAAAAAGUGUACCUUAGCAUUGCCCAAAUCACAAAUAUAUGUCAUGAAACCCAGAGGGCACGAGAAGGAUUUGGGCCUUCUUUCCCAUCUCAAAUCUCAACGAAUACACAUACUCAAAGUUCAGAUUUUUUGACCUCUCCAAAACUAAACAGCAAAACCUAAAGGAGGGAGGAGACCUACGGGAGAACAGACCAAGAGAGAGGG